CAGUAGCCGCGGUAAUACCGAGGGUGCGAGCGUUAAUCGGAUUUACUGGGCGUAAAGCGUGCGUAGGCGGCUAAUUGAGUCGGAUGUGAAAUCCCCGAGCUUAACUUGGGAAUUGCAUUCGAUACUGGUUAGCUAGAGUGUGGGAGAGGAUGGUAGAAUUCCAGGUGUAGCGGUGAAAUGCGUAGAGAUCUGGAGGAAUACCGAUGGCGAAGGCAGCCAUCUGGCCUAACACUGACGCUGAGGUACGAAAGCAUGGGGAGCAAACAGGAUUAGAGACCCCUGUAGUCCCUGUCUCUUAUAC
rnacentral:rRNA from 1 species